rnacentral:rRNA from 1 species
UACGGAGGAUCCGAGCGUUAUCCGGAAUUAUUGGGUUUAAAGGGUGCGUAGGCGGCCAUUUGAGUCAGCGGUGAAAUUUUGCAGCUUAACUGUAACAGUGCCGCUGAUACUGUUUGGCUAGGAUUUGGUUGUAGUGUGCGGAAUGUGUGGUGUAGCGGUGAAAUGCUUAGAUAUCACACAGAACACCGAUUGCGAAGGCAGCACACUAAGUCAUUAUUGACGCUGAGGCACGAAAGUGUGGGGAUCAAACAGGAUUA